rnacentral:tRNA from 1 species
GGAUGUAGUUCAGUGGUAGAGCAAGUGCUUCACAUACAAGAGGCCCUGGGUUCAAUCCCCAGUUCCA